AGAGAAUUCCAAGUUCCUACGACUCUGUGAUGUUGCUAUAGAAACUCAUUCACACCAGGAAGACAUGAGCGUUAAACGUAGCCCUUUGCACCUCUGUGUCAUCUCAGCCAAAUGAAAUAUCAGCAAAAAGGGAAAAUGCAUUCCAUUGUCCUGUAUGUCCUUCCCAAAGACGCUCAAGUUGGGAGAUGCUCAUCAAAUCGGCAGUUGAUGUAUACAGCCAUGUGGUGUGAACCAAAGGGUGCUGGGCUUGUGGCAUGGAAGCCACUUUUAAGUUCCAGGAGUGGAAACGAUGACUUCUAAGUUUCAGAUGCUUGCCGGGUGAACAAGGCACAUCGGUUGGACCAGUUCAUACCCCUUCCUGGCAUCUCCCAAGGCUGGGGAGUGGGCUUCUCUCCACUGAGCAAACGGAGAAGGUUGGCCACUAUGGUUCUCUAUGUGACAGGCAUGUGUGUGGAUGGAAAUAAAAACUCUGUAAGCCUUGAAA